rnacentral:rRNA from 1 species
AUGUGGUUUAAUUCGACGCAACGCGAAGAACCUUACCAGGGCUUGACAUCCCUGACGCGUAUGAAGUACGUUUCACCUCGGGUGACAGGGAGACAGGUGGUGCAUGGUUGUCGUCAGCUCGUGUCGUGAGAUGUUGGGUUAAGUCCCGCAACGAGCGCAACCCCUACGUUUAGUUGCUAACGCGUGAAGGCGAGCACUCUAGACGAACUGCCGUUGACAAAACGGAGGAAGUGGGAUGACGUCAAAUCAUCAUGCCCCUUAUGUUCUGGGCUACACACGUGCUACAAUGGCCGGUACAGACGGACGCAAAGCCGCGAGGUGGAGCAAAUCCUAAAAAGCCGGUCUCAGUUCGGAUUGCAGGCUGCAAUUCGCCUGCAUGAAGUCGGAAUCGCUAGUAAUCGCAGAUCAGCACGCCGCGGUGAAUACGUUCCCGGGCCUU